UGUCUGUCAUUGGUGUAAGUUCUCAACUAAUUAUUCGAAAAAUAAAAAUAAAAAUACUUCCCCAAUUGGUCGGGAUGGCAAAUGGUAUACGAAUUCUUGUACUGUUGACCCUGUAUUUUUUUAUUUUUGUCGAGAAUUACCGUUUUAAUUUGUGAAAAAUACAUGACUUGUUAUUGCGACACAUAAUGCAUUUUUUGUUAUUAUAAACUUCAUGUAUUAAUUUAAUUUAUAUGUAUAAAUAAAUAUGUAUACAAUAUGUAUGGAGA
rnacentral:lncRNA from 1 species